rnacentral:rRNA from 1 species
GCCCAGACUCCUACGGGAGGCAGCAGUGAGGAAUAUUGGUCAAUGGGCGGAAGCCUGAACCAGCCAAGUCGCGUGAGGGAUUAAGGCCCUGCGGGUCGUAAACCUCUUUUGCCGGGGAGCAGAGGUCCGGACGUGUCCGGGCCGGGAGAGUACCCGGAGAAAAAGCAUCGGCUAACUCCGUGCCAGCAGCCGCGGUAAUACGGAGGAUGCGAGCGUUAUCCGGAUUUAUUGGGUUUAAAGGGUGCGUAGGCGGGCAUUUAAGCCGGCGGUCAAAUGUCGGGGCUCAACCCCGGCCUGCCGUCGGAACUGGGUGCCUUGAGUGGGCGAGAAGGAUGCGGAAUGCGUGGUGUAGCGGUGAAAUGCUUAGAUAUCGCGCAGAACCCCGAUUGCGAAGGCAGCGUACCGGCUCCACACUGACGCUGAGGCACGAAAGCGUGGGUAUCGAACAGGAUUAGAUACCCCCGUAAUC